AUGACCAUAUUAUGUUGAAGCGCCGGUUCUCGUAUGAUCCUCGAAGUUAAGCAACGUCGAGCUUGGUCAGUACCUAGAUGAGUGACCGCUUGGCAAUACCAGGUGGUG